GACGAACGCUGGCGGCGUGCUUAACACAUGCAAGUCGAACGGAAAGGCCCUGCUUUUGUGGGGUGCUCGAGUGGCGAACGGGUGAGUAACACGUGAGUAACCUGCCCUUGACUUUGGGAUAACUUCAGGAAACUGGGGCUAAUACCGGAUAGGAGCUCCUGCUGCAUGGUGGGGGUUGGAAAGUUUCGGCGGUUGGGGAUGGACUCGCGGCUUAUCAGCUUGUUGGUGGGGUAGUGGCUUACCAAGGCUUUGACGGGUAGCCGGCCUGAGAGGGUGACCGGCCACAUUGGGACUGAGAUACGGCCAGACUCCUACGGGAGGCAGCAGUGGGGAAUAUUGCACAAUGGGCGGAAGCCUGAUGCAGCAACGCCGCGUGCGGGAUGACGGCCUUCGGGUUGUAAACCGCUUUCGCCUGUGACGAGGCGUGAGUGACGGUAAUGGGUAAAGAAGCACCGGCUAACUACGUGCCAGCAGCCGCGGUGAUACGUAGGGUGCGAGCGUUGUCCGGAUUUAUUGGGCGUAAAGGGCUCGUAGGUGGUUGAUCGCGUCGGAAGUGUAAUCUUGGGGCUUAACCCUGAGCGUGCUUUCGAUACGGGUUGACUUGAGGAAGGUAGGGGAGAAUGGAAUUCCUGGUGGAGCGGUGGAAUGCGCAGAUAUCAGGAGGAACACCAGUGGCGAAGGCGGUUCUCUGGGCCUUUCCUGACGCUGAGGAGCGAAAGCGUGGGGAGCGAACAGGCUUAGAUACCCUGGUAGUCCACGCUGUAAACGGUGGGUACUAGGUGUGGGGUCCAUUCCACGGGUUCCGUGCCGUAGCUAACGCUUUAAGUACCCCGCCUGGGGAGUACGGCCGCAAGGCUAAAACUCAAAGGAAUUGACGGGGCCCCGCACAAGCGGCGGAGCAUGCGGAUUAAUUCGAUGCAACGCGUAGAACCUUACCUGGGUUUGACAUGGAUCGGGAGUGCUCAGAGAUGGGUGUGCCUCUUUUGGGGUCGGUUCACAGGUGGUGCAUGGCUGUCGUCAGCUCGUGUCGUGAGAUGUUGGGUUAAGUCCCGCAACGAGCGCAACCCUUGUUCACUGUUGCCAGCACGUUAUGGUGGGGACUCAGUGGAGACCGCCGGGGUCAACUCGGAGGAAGGUGGGGAUGACGUCAAGUCAUCAUGCCCCUUAUGUCCAGGGCUUCACGCAUGCUACAAUGGCUGGUACAGAGAGUGGCGAGCCUGUGAGGGUGAGCGAAUCUCGGAAAGCCGGUCUCAGUUCGGAUUGGGGUCUGCAACUCGACCUCAUGAAGUCGGAGUCGCUAGUAAUCGCAGAUCAGCAACGCUGCGGUGAAUACGUUCCCGGG
rnacentral:rRNA from 1 species